rnacentral:rRNA from 1 species
GUCGAGCGAGCUGAACAGCAGAUUCACUUCGGUGAUGACGCUGGGAACGCUAGCGGCGGAUGGGUGAGUAACACGUGGGUAACCUGCCCUAAAGUCUGGGAUACCACUUGGAAACAGGUGCUAAUACCGGAUAACAACAAUAGCUGCAUGGCUAUUGCUUAAAAGGCGGCGAAAGCUGUCGCUAAAGGAUGGACCCGCGGUGCAUUAGCUAGUUGGUAAGGUAAUGGCUUACCAAGGCGACGAUGCAUAGCCGAGUUGAGAGACUGAUCGGCCACAUUGGGACUGAGACACGGCCCAAACUCCUACGGGAGGCAGCAGUAGGGAAUCUUCCACAAUGGGCGAAAGCCUGAUGGAGCAACGCCGCGUGAGUGAAGAAGGUUUUCGGAUCGUAAAGCUCUGUUGUUGGUGAAGAAGGAUAGAGGUAGUAACUGGCCCCUAUUUGACGGUAAUCAACCAGAAAGUCACGGCUAACUACGUGCCAGCAGCCGCGGUAAUACGUAGGUGGCAAGCGUUGUCCGGAUUUAUUGGGCGUAAGGCGAGCGCAGGCGGAAAGAUAAGUCUGAUGUGAAAGCCCCCGGCUUAACCGAGGAAUUGCAUCGGAAACUGUGUUUCUUGAGUGCAGAAGAGGAGAGUGGAACUCCAUGUGUAGCGGUGGAAUGCGUAGAUAUAUGGAAGAACACCAGUGGCGAAGGCGGCUCUCUGGUCUGUAACUGACGCUGAGGCUCGAAAGCAUGGGUAGCGAA